GCCGCUGGGUCCCCAAUGCAGCUCCCAGAUGAACCUUCAGUAUUUGCCAUAUUGCCAGGUAGCUUCUGAGGCUUAUGAAAAUGUGUCUGGAGAAGUGGGGCCAGAGGACCAGGGU
ensembl:scaRNA